GACAGAAUAGCUCAGUGGUAGAGCACAUGCUUAGCAUGUCCCAGGUCCUGGGUUCAAUCCCCAGUGCCUCCA
rnacentral:tRNA from 1 species